rnacentral:misc_RNA from 1 species
AAAGAGGAAAGCUGAGCACG